rnacentral:rRNA from 1 species
UACGAAGGGGGCUAGCGUUGUUCGGAAUUACUGGGCGUAAAGCGCACGUAGGCGGACUAUUAAGUCAGGGGUGAAAUCCCGGGGCUCAACCCCGGAACUGCCUUUGAUACUGGUAGUCUCGAGUCCGGAAGAGGUGAGUGGAGUUCCGAGUGUAGAGGUGAAAUUCGUAGAUAUUCGGAGGAACACCAGUGGCGAAGGCGGCUCACUGGUCCGGUACUGACGCUAAGGUGCGAAAGCGUGGGGAGCAAACAGG